CCUACGGGAGGCAGCAGUGGGGAAUAUUGCGCAAUGGGCGGAAGCCUGACGCAGCGACGCCGCGUGGGGGAUGACGGCCUUCGGGUUGUAAACCUCUUUCGCCAUCGACGAAGCCUUUGGGUGACGGUAGGUGGAGAAGAAGCACCGGCCAACUACGUGCCAGCAGCCGCGGUAACACGUAGGGUGCGAGCGUUGUCCGGAAUUAUUGGGCGUAAAGGGCUCGUAGGCGGCUUGUCGCGUCUGCUGUGAAAGCCCGGGGCUUAACCCCGGGUCUGCAGUGGAUACGGGCAGGCUAGAGUCCGGCAGGGGAGACUGGAAUUCCUGGUGUAGCGGUGGAAUGCGCAGAUAUCAGGAGGAACACCGGUGGCGAAGGCGGGUCUCUGGGCCGGUACUGACGCUGAGGAGCGAAAGCGUGGGGAGCGAACAGGAUUAGAUACCCUGGUAGUCCACGCCGUAAACGUUGGGCGCUAGGUGUGGGUUCCCUUCCACGGGGUCCGUGCCGUAGCUAACGCAUUAAGCGCCCCGCCUGGGGAGUACGGCCGCAAGGCUAAAACUCAAAGGAAUUGACGGGGGCCCGCACAAGCGGCGGAGCAUGCGGAUUAAUUCGAUGCAACGCGAAGAACCUUAC
rnacentral:rRNA from 1 species